AUGAUCUUGAUCUAUUGAGUUGCAACAAUUUUAAAGCUUCCGUCUUCCUUUUGUUAUACAGGUGAAUAGUAUAUGUUUUAUCAUUAGAAUGAAAUUGAUGUCGAUUUAAGGAAAACAGAAUGAAGAAUUCCUAUGUCCACCAAAAGACUGGAUCACAAGGCAGUCUAACAACAGCGUUACUUGUAUCAAAUGUAUCCCUUAUGAAGAACCUACUACAAACAGGAACAUGUGGAGAUAACGAUAAGUGUAUAGCUGGAGUAACUUUGUUGUGUGUGUCUAUUUUAUUACAAGUAGCAGCUGGAAUUAUGCUUGUUAUAUUGGCACCUAGAGAACAGAAAAGUUCAAAUUUGAAAAAGAAAGAUAGGCAAUCUUACGCCUUGGAAACAGAAGAUAUAAUACAAGAAAAGGCCAAUAUUAGAAAAUCGAGAAAAAUUCUGAAUGACCGAAUCAACACAACAGUUCUGGUACUGACAUUCCUUAUUGCAGUGAUAAAUAUUGUUAUAAACGGAAUUGGUAUUUAGAUUCAAGUUGAAGUGUAUUUUAAAAUUACUGUUGAACAUAUUUAGUUAAUUUUUUAGCACUUACUGUAGCUUUUGAUAGUAAAUAUAUUUGUAAAUGUA